UACUUUUUGUUUUGAAUACCGUACAUUGUGCCUGACCCUAAUUUUCUUAGUAUUUCAUCAGAUUUCUUCAUAUUGAUAUCAAACCAAUGCUCAUUUUCUAAUUGAGAUAAAAUCAACAAGAUCAGGUAUAUUCAAUCUAUUAUAUACACACAAAAAUAUCAUGAAAAUGUUGGCACAGAUCCAAGAUGAUAACACAACUUUUUAAUGUACAAUAAAAGAUACAGACAUUCCUAUGAAAAUAAUGGCAUCAAUUUCAUUCACAAACACAUAUAAAAUUCUAGGACCUGUUCUGUGUAUAUUUUUUUCAAAUCAAAUGCACAAGACAAUAAAUGAUUUACAAUUCAAAUGUGAGGUUAAAUAGAAAUGCUUUCAUUCAAACAAAAAUCAUGAAGAAAUCUUCGUUCAAAUUAGAUGUUUUACCUAUCUAACAGUGAAUGAAUAAAAAUGAAAAUCCCUGGGAGUACUAAUGUACAUGGGUUUCCCUCCAAAAUGUUCCAAUGGCUGCAUAUUUUGGAUAAUUCUAAAAAUUAUCCGUUGCUUAAUUCUUUAUUCAACUUAUUUGUCAACUAUGAAGGUAUCAAUUCUUGUGCUAUAGAAAAAAGUGUUUUAUUCUAAGGAUUACAUGGAAUUGCUAUAAAAUUAUUUGUUAAGUAACUCCCUAUGAAUCCCCUAAAAAGGAAUGCAAUGAGUAACCAUAAUACACACAAUACAAGUCUUUUCAGUUCAUAUUUCUGAUUAAUUUUUUUUUUAUGUUUUUGUCUCAUUGACAUUGAUAUAAUAUCUUCUUAAAGUUUGUAAAGAAAAAAACACUUGCAUGAUUUAAACAGUUACAUUAGGAAAAAUUCUGAUUCUUCUAAAGCUAUGCCUAUUUCUACUAUGUUAUAACUUGAUUGGACAAUGAGGCUUGGUUUUAUUUCCUAAUGUGCAAACACAGUACAAAAGUACACAUCAUAGAUGUUCACAUUUCCAACCACUAGUGAUAAUCUGGUGAGUCUGGUGUGCACAUUUCAAUCCACUACCAUGAAAGUGUAAUAAAAGGGGUGAAUCUUAAAUAUUCAACACAAUAAACAUUAAUUCAGCACACUUGUGCUAUUUCCUGGGUGUGUCCUGAGUAAGGGGUGAAUUUUAAAUAUUCAACAAAAAACAUCAAUUCAGCACUCUUGCACUAUUUUGUAGGGUGCCGUUUUUGGUGGAUAAAGCAACAAUGCCUCAAGAGAAACACCAACCGUCAAUUGAUAAUCAAAAUAACUAAUGAUUCCGCAAGUCACAAAAAUUGAUACCAACAAUAAAUAAAUGAAUCCACAACACUAAAUCCUAAUAGAUCACCUUUGUAAUAUUAUAUUACAAUAGAUCACCUUUGUAAUAUUAUAUUACAAUAGAUCACCUUUGUAAUACUUUGUAAUAUUAUAUUACAAUAGAUCACCUUUGUAA
rnacentral:lncRNA from 1 species